rnacentral:rRNA from 1 species
UUGAUCCUGGCUCAGAAUCAACGCUGGCGGCGCGCUUAACACAUGCAAGUCGCACGAGAAAGUGGAGCAAUCCAUGAGUACAGUGGCGUACGGGUGAGUUACACGUGGAUCAUCUACCUUCUAGUGGGGAAUACCCCCGGGAAACUGGGUACAAUACCGCAUAAGCUCGUAAGAGGAAAGCAGCAAUGCGCUGGAAGAGUAGUCCGCGGCUGAUUAGCUAGUUGGCGGGGUAACGGCCCACCAAGGCGAUGAUCGGUAGCCGGCCUGAGAGGGCACACGGCCACACUGGCACUGAAACAUGGGCCAGACUCCUACGGGAGGCAGCAGUGGGGAAUCUUGCACAAUGGAGUAAACUCUGAUGCAGCGACGCCGCGUGAGCGAUGAAGCCCUUCGGGGUGUUAAGCUCUUUCGACGGGAACGAUAAUGACGGUACCCGAAGAAGAAGCUGCUGCUAACUACGUGCCAGCAGCCGCGGUAAUU